rnacentral:rRNA from 1 species
GCAUGGUGGGGGGUGGAAAGCUUUUGUGGUUUUGGAUGGACUCGCGGCCUAUCAGCUUGUUGGUGAGGUAAUGGCUCACCAAGGCGACGACGGGUAGCCGGCCUGAGAGGGUGACCGGCCACACUGGGACUGAGACACGGCCCAGACUCCUACGGGAGGCAGCAGUGGGGAAUAUUGCACAAUGGGCGGAAGCCUGAUGCAGCGACGCCGCGUGAGGGAUGACGGCCUUCGGGUUGUAAACCUCUUUCAGUAGGGAAGAAGCGUAAGUGACGGUACCUGCAGAAGAAGCGCCGGCUAACUACGUGCCAGCAGCCGCGGUAAUACGUAGGGCGCAAGCGUUAUCCGGAAUUAUUGGGCGUAAAGAGCUCGUAGGCGGUUUGUCGCGUCUGCCGUGAAAGUCCGGGGCUCAACUCCGGAUCUGCGGUGGGUACGGGCAGACUAGAGUGAUGUAGGGGAGACUGGAAUUCCUGGUGUAGCGGUGAAAUGCGCAGAUAUCAGGAGGAACACCGAUGGCGAAGGCAGGUCUCUGGGCAUUAACUGACGCUGAGGAGCGAAAGCAUGGGGAGCGAACAGGAUUAGAUACCCUGGUAGUCCAUGCCGUAAACGUUGGGCACUAGGUGUGGGGGACAUUCCACGUUUUCCGCGCCGUAGCU